GGAAGGAUCAUUAACACGUAUCCAACGUUAAACAACCCCGUGAACCUUCAGCCUGCUCUCGUAGCCCACGCGGCAACAGCAAUCCCGGUAAAUCAUUGACGACCAGUUUUGAUUCGGGACCUCUGUUACGAUGUGAGAAGUUACAGUUACGAUCGAGCGGUAGAGUCAGUGGCAUGGCGUCCCCAAGCAGAAUCCAGAGAAUGAAAGGAUCACUGGCUGCGCAAGGAUAACGCCUCACGGUUGCUAGAGGUCGAUCACCGACCGGCAGACAUGUCACAGGGUCCCCAUGCCCCUUACCUCACCCCACUACCAAUGACUAGCUUAGCGGUAACGCGCUGAGUAAAAAAAACCGAACAACUGUUAACAAUGGAUAUCUUGGUUCUCGCAACGAUGAAGAACGCAGCGAAAUGCGAUACGUAAUGCGAAUUGCAGAAUUCAGUGAAUCAUCGAAUCUUUGAACGCAAAUUGCGCUCUCGGGUUACCCCCAAGAGCACACCUCUCUGAGUGUCGGUUUAACCAAAUGUCACCAAUUUAUUGGUGUACGACAGACUGAGGGUAAGGGGCUUCGGCUUCUUUCCCUUUAAAUCUCAGCCUCACGACUGUGUGUGUUCGUGGCAAGUUGCUUUCACUUAACUGUGAAUCCAAUCCGCGAACCCUAUGUUGGGAAGCCAAAAGAAACAAAUGAACAAAGGAGUGAGCUUGAGGCGCAAGUUUCGAGUGAGCGACUUUGGACAUCUAUGAAUUAGACCUCAGAUGAAGUGGGAAGACCCCCUGAAUUUAAGCAUAUUAUUAAGGGGAGGAAAAGAAACUAACAAGGAUUCCCCUAGUAACGGCGAGUGAAGCGGGAAGAGCUCAAAUUUAAAAUCCGCUGGUCUAACAGCCGGUGGAGUUGUAAUCUAGAGAGGCUCUCUCAGUGCCAGCCUGGUUAUAAGUCCCUUGAAACGGGGCAUCAAAGAGGGUGAGAAUCCCGUAUUUGAGCCGGAGCUAAGUACGUACGAGGAGCUUUCCAAGAGUCGCGUUGCUUGGGAGUGCAGCGCUAAAUGGGUGGUAAAGUUCAUCUAAAGCUAAAUACUGGCGAGAGACCGAUAGCGAACAAGUACCGUGAGGGAAAGAUGAAAAGAACUUUGAAAAGAGAGUUAAAAAGUACUUGAAAUUGUUAACAGGGAAGGGGAGUAAACCAGUCAUUUCUAAGCUUCAUUCGCUUUUCUUUCGGGAGGAGUUACUUGAGGCUGAGAAGAGUCAGCAUCACUUAGGGUCUUCGCAGAAAUUGUGUGAGUUGGUGCGUUUCUUCGGAUUCGUUUAAUUCAUGCAACCUACGUUGGCGCUGGGUGAGGAGUGAUAACCCCCCGCCUUCGGGUGUCGGUGCUCUGAGGUCUGUUUGCCCUAGCGCGUGAGAGAACAAAGUUCUGUCUGUGCGAAAGGUGAAUACUGCUUUGGAUGCGCUAGAUGGUGGGUUCGCGAUGCAGACGAAAUGGUUUUCUUCCACCCGUCUUGAAACACGGACCAAGGAGUCUAACAUAUAUGCGAGUAUUUGGGUGACAAACCCUGAUGCGUAAUGAAAGUAAAGAGCCGCAAGGCUUGAGGUAGGAAUCUCGCCCUCGGGUGGGAGGCACUAUCGACCGAUCGUUCGCUUGCGGAAGAUUUGAGUAAUAGCAUAUCUGUUGGGACCCGAAAGAUGGUGAUCUAUGCCUGAACAGGGUGAAGCCAGGGGAAACUCUGGUGGAAGCUCGUAGCGAUACUGACGUGCAAAUCGUUCGUCUGAUUUGGGUAUAGGGGCGAAAGACUAAUCGAACCAUCUAGUAGCUGGUUCCCUC
rnacentral:misc_RNA from 1 species